GUUUAGCUUGACUUACUCCAGAUUAUUUAGCAGCUUGGAGUAGCGAGCACUAAGCAUUUUUAUUAUAGGACUUUCCAGUUUUAAUCUGUUUUAAGGACAAAGUUACUUUUGGUGUUAAAAACCUUUGUAAAGAAAUCCCAGAAACAUCUUUUUAUGUAAUAUUCUUUAAAAGCAGGUGUUUCAUUUCCAGUAGAGCAAUGCAUGUAUGUGCCCCUAAAUAUUGUGCUGAUUAAUUUGUUGACCACCGAGAUAUGUAUUUUGUUUUCAGUGGAUGCUCAAAUGAGUUUGUAAACAGGAGAACUAUGUUCCAUGUUCUCUUAGCAGAAGCAUAUAUAGUUCUUAUAACGCUUAAAGAAGAAAACAGUGAAUAGCUCAUUUCCUGGACUUGCAAGUGCUUUGCCUGAGAAGAGAAGCCACUGGUGGAAUCAGAAUGAGCAACGCUGCAUUUUUAGAAUGGAGCGUAUCACUUUGCAUACCCUCUUCUGUCAGAAGAAUCCUCUCAUGAGAGCAGUCGUGUUUGUGACAAGCUGAACUGGCACAGACCUUUCCUGUCUGCCCUCCAUGUAACCCCUCCAUUUCACAGCCAGCGUUCUGCUCUUCUAGCCAGCUGCUGUAGAUUUUCCUCUGGGAAUAAUGAUGUGGUAUGAAGAAAACCAUCACUUGGUGAGGAAUUUUUAGGAUCGAUUAUAAAACCAGCAUAGGUAACAGAGUUCAACUAAAAUAUAUGGAAAAAAAAGAAGCAAAUAAAUGUAGUGUAUGGAGAGAUUUAUGAAAAAUUGGAAAUUAGACUUUUUAAACUUAGAAAUUACUUUUGUGAUGGAUCACACUUCAUAAAGUUAUUGUCACCACAUUCCCCCCUGUGAGAACUUCCCUGUCUGCGUAAUUUGACUUCCUGAAUAACAGGCAACAACUAACGUUUUUCCUUCAUUUAUUCUUACAGUAAUUUUCUAUCAGUAUCUCUGUCUAGUGUUACAGGUAAAGGGACAGACCUUAACAUAACAUGGCAACUAUGUGCUUUCAAUGUAAAACAAACAUGAUGUUGUUUGACAUCAAUGAAAAAAUUCACUUUAAUUUCAGGGGGUCUUAUUGCCCACAGUAUGUAGCAUCUCUUUUGUAAUGUUGGCUCCGAGUUAAUACCUAGGUUUAAUUUUAGCUAGCUCUACAGAGGAUUUUUUUAUAACAAGUUGGUUUGCUUUGUUGUUUUAAUGAUUCUGUUUUCUUAAGUAUGCAGUUCUAAAAAUAAACAUGUUAGAGCUAACUGGCUUGUCUUUUCCUGCCCUUUCUCCCUACCUGAUUUUUCUGCCUCCUCUUUUUCAUGUCGCUUUGAUUUAGGCAAUUUACUA